rnacentral:lncRNA from 1 species
UUAUCUUCACAGCUGAAGUAGUCAUGUUCCGAGUCUUGCUCAUCUUCACAUAGAUCAACACCUGAUUCAGACUCAUCGGAUUCAGACCUGUCAUUAGCAUCUUCCAAGUCAUCGGAUUCAGACUCACCAUCUUCCGUAAAUAUAGACAGGUCGUCAUCAUCCUGUGUCAUUACCAGGUGGACCCCGAAGCUAUUAAAACGCAGCGAAUCUUGUGUCAAAUUCUGAAAAUUAACUUGACACGCAAAAGGCGACUGCGGCCAGGUAAUCUGAUCAUCCCGGUAAAACAUUUCUCUGAAUCGAAUAUAGCACAGCCACACAUGACCUGACCCUAUCUUUCUGAAAUGGUAAUCGAACUGAAUAUAAUGAGGUACCACUUCUGGUUGAUUGACGGAAAUUUUUGUUAGAAAACCAUGGUAACGUCGUCUUUUAUUUUGCGGGUUUUCAACAGCAGCAUAUAGAGCCAAUCCUUGGUUCUGGCAUUUGAAGUUUGGAGGGAUUUCAAUCAAAAGUUCACAUGCUUCAUCACGCUCCUUCACAUCGUUAUGACAGCUGAACAACGUCGAGAGAGCUUCAAAACUUGCUGGAAAUACAACCUGAAAUCCAUGUUUCUGUGAAGACAGAAGGUGAUCAAAGAAGAGUGUGAUCUGCUCCUUUGGUAGAAUGUUUGGUUUCUUUGGGAGGUCACGAGCCAGAUUGCCGCACAGUCUCUGGCAAUUACACAAGUCCACCAACUCAAUCAUUUGUGAGUCUUUUUUACCUUUCAGAAUGUUGGACAAUGAUGAAAACCUUUCCAAUGAUAUGCAAUCACUCGCCUCUAACUUUACUAUUUUUGGUGGAAGUUCCGGAAUAUCUUGAAGCCUCUUGCAGCCAUGCAAGUAAAGCUCCCGCAAAUUGACAAAUUUCAUAAUGCAUACGGGAAUACUUACAAGGAAAUCACUUCUUGUUAGAUCAAGUGCACUCAAUGUAGACACACAAUCAAGAGUUCUGAGGAAAUUAAUUUCUGAUAAAUUGCUUCCUUCCAAAGUGAAUGCCUCAAGUCUGGGAAGCGCUAAAGGAUGUGAUACUGCACUCCCCAAAACUUCAGACUUCACUUUAUUUGGAAAUGUAACAAGCUUUCGACUUCCUUGGAGACAAACGUGGUUUAGAUGUUCCAACUCAUAAAUGCUGGGUGGCAGAUUCGUAAGAUUUUCACGAUUCCUUAGGUCUAAAAAUUCAAGACUGAUGAGAUAUGCAAUUGAUGCAGGCAAUUCUUUGAAGCCACUACCAGAUAGAAACAUGCAACGUAAGGAAUCCAUCUUUCCCCCAAUUUCAGGGAAAGUCUCCAGUCUUCUGCAAUCUUCAAGAUUGAGAACUUGUAGAGAUUUUGACUGGAUUAUUGGAAAUAGUGUGAGGUUAUAGCAUCUCACAAGACUCAAGUCAACAAGCUUAUCAUGAAAUCCAACAGAAGGAUGAACCUCAACUAAACUCGUGCAGUCGUCCAGAUUCAAGGACUGUAAGUUUGGAAUUCCAGAGAUAUUUGGGGUUUUUGUUAGGAAUUCACAGCUCUCAAAAUUCAUGGACUUCAAAUUUUGCAAACGCUAUAUGAGACAAAAAUAGAAAAGAAAAAGAAGGAUCAAACGAUAAGGCAUAAACAAGUGCAAGCCAUAACUCCAAAAACUUAAUAAACUUUUGAAAAUACGAAGGGAUGAAAAUAAUUUAAAUUACCUUGAAUCCCUCCCCAAGUUGUGACAAGCGGCUACAAGGCAUAUAAAGUUCAACAAGUUUACUUGGAUUGAAAGUAGAUGGUAAAGUUUGUAGAGGACAAUCAGGCCAAUGAAGAAACCUCAACUCAUUAGAUAGAUAAUCCACGUGAUCACCAUAAAAUCGUGCAUUCACAUUGAUGAAAAGUCGAAGGUUUUUCAUCUCUGAGAAGCUGUCACCACUCAAGCAUAUGUCAUCUGGUGUCGGAAACUUUGCUAUGAUGCCUUUAAUAUUGUUUGUUCCCUAUUAUCAAAAAGCAGUAGUGUUAACAUACAAAGCUCUUUAGCAAAUAAAAAUGCAAGUGUACACAUCACACACACAGACUUACUGUUCCUUCUGUUAGAACACGAUAAACAUCCUCGUGAAACCACAAUCUGCUACGUUCACCAGGCUCAUCUGGCGACUCUUGAUAAACUAUUCCUCUACCCAAUUCUUCAAGCAAGUCAUGCAUCCCAAUUAUGCCUUGUUCAAUAUUUAUGAGGGCCUUGUCUACGAGUACUUUAAUAGCAUACUUAGGCUUGAGGUCACAACCUUCCAGGAUCGGUAUCACAUGGUUCACCUUUCUACCGUUAAAGAAACAUGCUAUAUCAAGGAAGACUUCUUGCACCGAAUAUUCCAAUGCAUCAUAGCUUAUUUUGAGAGUUUUUUUAAUGUCCGAGUGCAGAUUCCCAUCCAAUGCAUCAUGCCACUCAUCUAUACUUCUACCACAUAGAUGGGAACCUAAAACCUUGAGAGCUAAAGGAAGACCUUGAGCAUGCUUCACCACAGUUUCUGCAGCUUUCACAUAAUCAUCAUCCAAAUUUUUAUUUCUCCCACCAUUCCAACUAAUGAAGAGAUCAAGAGAUUCACCAAAGUUUAAUUUCUUGGCCUUGUAUAUAAUACUAACUUGAUGAGAUCUUAGCAAAUGCUUAUCUCUUGUCGUUAUGAUAAUUCUACUGCCCAAACCAAACCAAUCACAACCUCCAACUAAGUUGUUUAAUUGGUCCAAAUGAUCCACAUCAUCUACAAUUACAAGGACCUUUUUACCACUCAACCUUUCCUUUAUCACACUGAUUCCUUUAUCGGCACUGGUAACCUUUAUUUCCUUUCCUCUUAGAAUCUCAUAAAGAAGAAGAUUUUGUAGGUCGACUAGGCCUCCAUAUGGUAUUGAUCUUUCUCUUACAUUUUCCAGAAAACAACUCCCUUCAAACACAUGGGCCAGUGAGUUAUAAACAGCUUUAGCAACAGUUGUCUUUCCUAUUCCACCAUUCCCCCAUAUUCCUACCAUGCGAACAUCAUUUCUGUCAACGUCUAAAACUUUACGAAUAUCUAGUACACGAGCCUCUAUUCCAACUUGGUAUUUUGCCACAUUGAUAUGGGUAUCCUUUAAUACUUGUAAGGAAAUCUCGUUGACAAUGUUCUGAAUAAAUUCAGUUUCAGGGCUGCCAAUUUUAAGCACAAACAACAUUUAAAUAAAAUGGGAUUUUUCUAUAUAUGUUUUAAAGAAGUGCUCGACUCGAUACUAGUGUAAAUUAUGUCGUGAAUUUUAGAUGAUGGAGUUACUACAUCAUGAUAUUUGAUAUGUCUAGACACUUCUUCUUAUUAAAAUCUCGGUUUAUUAGUUAAAAGUUGGACUCAACAUCCAUAACUGUCUUACAUUUAUCAAGAAGAAUAAUUAAAUGAGGGUUUUAUAAUCAACAUAAGGAAGAGCUGUUUGGUAGGUAUCUAAGACUAAUAAAUUAAUUAAGUAUUUUGUUCUUGGAAAUUAUGUAAUUUAUGGACAACAUUUUAUAUAUGUUUGUUGCAUGUUAUCAUAUACCAUAGGCUUAAUUUUUUCAAAUCCUCUAGGUGUGGGAUUGCCCUGGAGAGAGAGAGAGAGAGAGAGAGAGAGAGAGAGAGAGAGAGAGAGAGAGAGAGAGAGAGAGAGAGAGAGAGAGAGAGAGAGAGAGAGAGAGGUGGUGGAUGGGAUAGAGGAAGGUGGAGGGAGGGUCAUAAGAGAGGCGUGAGUGCGGCUGUUUAUGGCAGGGAUGGGUUGAUUUGAGAACUUAUUAUUUUUUUCACAAUAUUAAACCCAAAUAAAUAAGUUAGGGAAAGUACAUCAAACAUGGUUUUCUUCUUCUGUCUUACACUCCCCUUCUAUUUUCUUACUCUAUCGUUUAAUCGCUCUUCUCGAUUUCUCCUUACUAAACAAUUGUUUAUCAAACAUGUUACUAUUGUAAUAGAUUUUGAUGUUGUCUUUUGUCUAUUUUUGCUCAUUUUGCUUCAAGAUCUUGAAUUUGUCGUUUGGUGGUUGACAAAUGAAGUGCAGAAAAUAUAUCUAAUCUGUAGUUUCUAUUCAUUUUCAGUACUUUUGAUUGCAUAUCUUGAAUUUAUAUUGUUUGAUGGCUGAGAACAUGAGGGAAAAACAAACAAUUAGAAAAUUCAUGAACAAGCUAUGAUGUUAGGGAAAGCUUGUGAUGGAAUGGACACUACGAUAACAAUAGAAGAGAUUGGUUUUCGUAACAGAGUGAUUUUAUUAGAAAGGAGAGAUGUACACUGCUUGCUUGGUGUAGAACUAUGAGGCUAUUAAUAAUGUAGCUAUUGGUUGGCUAAUUGGCCUUUCAGUGAUGUAACUAUUUGCUACUUAGUGGGUUUGUAAGAUUGCAGGAUUUCAUCCAACACAAAAAAUAAAGGACUGCAGGAUUCCACUGGCAUAUUACACAAAGCCUUGUAAUCUCCUCUGUUUCUAUUAGAUUGUGUGAGGCUUAGAUAUAAGAAUAGUGUUUGGCUUUCUAGUAGAUUUCUUAGUUACAAUUCACAUUACAACACUUCAAUCCUAUUUAUUGGCAAUGUUUUCCGGCAAGUUUGCCGACUUGACCAACCACCAUGUCUACUACUUGGCUUUAUCAAAUAUUAUCAGCCACAUAAGCUGCAGCUUGCUCUAGACUGGAGCAUUCUACAAAACUCCUUAUAUGUUUGUGGCUAUUUGUUUAGCCGGCAAAGUUCACCGACUUGGUCAUUUAGUCCAGUAGCUACCCUCUUCUAGAUUCUACUACAAUUAUCUUAGAUAUCUGAUAGCUAUUGUAGCACUUUGGGAUUCUAAAUUAUUACUCUAGAGAUUUCUACCAAAUGUCCAUCACAUUUUAACAGUUAAAAUAACAGAUUCUGCAACCCUGGGAGAAAUAAAUUGAAAUUAAGGCAGAGCCUCCUGAUCCUAAAUGUAUAUUAAAGAUAGAAAUAUACCGCAUUCAGAAAAGAAAAAAAACAUACCCCUCCAAGUAAUGCGACCCAGACAAAUUUGCAGCUUCUGUAAGGGUUUCCUUCCAUCUCAGCACCUUCUUCAUAUUGUCCUCGAAUUUACUUUCAUCAUGGUUAGUAAGUCUCUGUUCUUUGAAUUUGCGUUCAUGGUUAUUCAGUGCCUCGCCAUAACUACCUCUUUGGUUCCUUACAUCUGAGGGAUCCACUUUGUAGAAAACUGGCCAAACCAUCUGUUGCUUUGAUUUUCUACACUGAAUGAUAUGAACAAGUUCAUCCAAGCACCACUUCGAGGAUGCAUAGUUUUCAGAGAAUACGAUGAUGGAACACCUCGAUCCUUCAAUUGCAUCAAGAAGUGCUUGUGAUAUUUCUUCUCCUCUUGGGAGCUCAUCAUCUAUGAAGGUUCUGAUGCCCCUCUGGACCAAAUUUUUGUGUAGAUGGUCUGUGAAAUUGUAGCGUGUGUCCUCACCUCUAAAGCUGAGAAACACAUCGUGUGUCCAUGAAUUGGUGAAAGAAGAAGAAGAAGAAGGGGAAGGAGCUCCUAAUAAUUGAGUGGUGCUUAGAUCCAUAUUGUUGAAAAUUGAACAGGCUGAAAGGGUUGGAAAUUAUGGUGAUUUAUUGUCCAAGAGUUUCUGGUUGGCAAUGUCAGUGGAGAGAAGAAACAUGCGAGUGAAAAAUCUUGGUCUUUCUGGGCCCCAAGAGCUCCUACCCCUGCUGGGUCUCUCUAGACCCGAGGGACAGUUUAACCAAAAAUAAACGUAGUAAUAAUAACACACUGGUAACAGCACUCUCACCCAAUUGUCAUGACAAAUAGCAAGGGCUGUUACUAUUUAUGCAAAAUUGGUCAAAGAAAGUAUUCGGUACUCUGUCAUUAAGACAAUUUACGCCCCACUACAUUGCUCAUGGUUGCGUUUGUCUCCUAAAAUACAACCACCACUUACAAUUGUAACUUUUUUCAUUUUACAUUUCAAACUUCAAAUCCAGUCGGCAAUUAGACCAGUAUUAACUAGUACAUGCAGUUACAUAAAAAUUUGAAUGCAAACCCUUUGUGUCUAGAAACAAUUCUGCACUAAAAAUAGUUUUCAGUUCAACAUUGGUCGUGUGUGUUUAUUUUCUUGUCUCACCACAACAACUUCCAAAACCACAGCAAAGCUAGCUGCAGUCAUUUUGUCACAAAAUUGUUCGUUUGUUAAAAAUAGUUUAUGGUUUAAUGGUUUGUUCUGUUAAGGGAAAGCUUGGUUGCAAUAAUUAAACUUUUGGUUUAUAUAUAAUUCCUUUAAAUCCAAAUGUAAGAACCAUUAAUUCAUCCGCUAAUAGCUUGCAAAAAUUGAUUAAAAUGGAAAAACAAAAAACAAAUACACAUCAAAUUAAUAGUACAGUUAUAUAUAUGCAAGAUUAGACUAAUAUUUUAAACAUGUUUACAAGGUGUUCACCAAGGCACAAAACGGUCCAUAAGCAAACAGACUGUGGCCUCUGAAAGCGUAGAGGAAUCCAAGUCCCUCUGAAUCUGAGCCAUUCUGCUGCUCUCUUUUCUUGCUUCUUUCAACACUUGUUCUUCUUCAACCUCAUCAUCACCCUCUCCUUGUUUGCCCUUUGAUGAAAACACCAUUCGCUUCUUAGCUCCUACCUUGUCUUUCAGCUUUGCAAACUCGCUCAUCCAAACCUCCACCACUGCAGACAUAAUUGAACUACUUGAAAACUUGAAAUUAUUGCUUGGUCUUGACUCUUGAGUUUGAUCAAGGAUGAUGAGGAGAGCUGGCUAUUAUGCUUGUUGGGUUAUAUAGAAGACAGAGAGAGAGAGAGAAAGAAAGAGGGCCUUGCCCUUCAUGUGGUUUGGAUUGGAUGAAAAAUAAGUGUGUCACAGCCGUUGGAUAUAGGUUCGCACACAGGAUUUAGUUUUAGGAAUAUUCGUUGGAGAGAGAGAGAGAGAGAGAGAGCAGAAGUGGGGUAUGAGUUUUGUGGAGUGAAUGAAAAGCUUCUCCGUGGGCGUGUGUCCUCACCUCUAAAACUGAGAAACACAUCGUGGGUCCAUGAAUUGGUGAAAGAAGAAGAAGAAGAAGGGGAAGGAGCUCCUAAUAAUUGAGUGGUGUCUAGAUCCAUAUUGUUGAAAAUUGAACAGGCUGAAAGGGUUGGAAAUUAUAGUGAUUUAUUGUCCAAGAGUCUCUGGUUGGCAAUGUCAGUGGGCAGAAGAAUCAUGUGAGUGAAAAGUCUUCGUCUAUGUGGGCCCCAAGAGCCCCUACCUCUGCUGGGUCUCUCCAAUCUAGGAGAAAUUAUAGAGUAGUACCGUAUCACCACGUCAGCUGGUGAUACUUCCACUCAAAAUAUGCCAUGUGUAAUUUUUUAAAAUUAAUUAUUCUUCAUUACAGCUGGACUUUAUUUUUAUCCGCUGAAAUAAAUUAGAAAAAUAAAAAACUUAAAAAAAAAAAGAGAGAAUAUCCCAGCAACCCAACCCUUACCCCCACGCCACCCCUCUGUCGUCGUCUUCCGACUGCCAUCAACAGUCAUUAGUAAGAGAGCCAAAUCCCCACAGCCUAAUAAAUUUUUGCAACAAGGAAACUUCAUCAUCAUUGUCAAUGAAUGUUAAUAUAUGAUGGAGUUUAUUAGAUCCAAUAUAAUACCCAACACAAUCAACCCUUUCCAUAUCAAUUUCAUGCUGGUCGAUUUGUAGCCUGUUUGUUAUAGACCCACCUCCCAUCCCAACCUUCUUCACAUCUGCUAGUGAGACCUUCAUCAAUGAAAAAAUAUAUAUGGAUCUUGGGGUAGUCACCAAAAGGUUGAGAAAGUUGAAGAACGGCAACAGAGAGAGAGAGAGAGAGAGAAAUAAAUAAAAGAGAGGGACGGGGCGGCGACCAGAGCGGCGGUGCGAGGUAGGCAUGUUGGGGGUAGGCUGUGGCUAUGCUCUUUUUUUUUCCAUUGUUUAUUUUCUUAAUUUUAUUUUAAAGGGUAAAAAUUAGGUUAAUGUCCAGUUGUAAAAUAAAGUUUGAGUUGUUAAAAAAUAAAGACACAUGUCAUAUUUUGAGUGGGAAUAUCACCAGCUGACGUGGUGAUACGGUACUACUCUAUAAUUUCUCCCAAUCUAGACCCGAGGGACAGUUUUAAUUUUAUAUGAUUAUUUAUAAUUCCAACAGCUAUAUUUUAUAAUUAUCUUUUUGUUUUGCUUUCUCUUUUCGUUAUAUUUUCUUCUUUUUAUUUAUAAUUAUUGUUUAUCUUUAUUAAUGAUUGUCGUUUAUUUUUUCAAAUUCAAUGAUAAAUCACAUAAUUCAGGUCCUUUAGAAAACUACUUUCAGGUCCUUUUCACUAAUAACCAAAAUAAAUACAACCAAAUUAAUAAAUGGCUUGGCAUGAGGAGUUUAUGGCAUGGGAGCUAAGCUUUCACAAGUUUAGCAAUUUAAGAAAGAGAAAGCAUGAGUUUCUUGCAUAAUACAAAGAUCAAAAUGGGGCAGAAGAAAAUUAGGAGGAUUCCUAUCUUAGGGAAAGAAGAAAACAGCGAGAGAAGAAGAUUGGGUGGCUUGAGUAAAUUCUCAGUUGCUUGACAAAGCUUGGUCAGGCUCUGGAUGAUGAUUUUGCUGGGUAAUGAGCCCUUUGUGGUUCCAAGGGUUUGACGCAGCUGGACCUCCUCAUGAAGGUGAGGCGCACUUGCUUUCCUUCUUGGUUUUCAAAACGGAGCUAACAGAGGAAAAGAAAACAGGUAUAGUCUUUUGCCCGGUGGGUACUUUCCUUACAUACAUGGAUUUCCUUUGGUUCCUGCUAUGGCUUCCCAUUGACUGUCUUGAAGCUUUGACAAAGAUGGAGCACGAUGUCAGAUUUUUAUAAGGCGUUGGGCUGGGCUUGUGUGUACAGUGUUGGGUUAUUAACGUAUUAUCUCCAGCAUCUAAUGGGUUUUCAUCAAGCUGCCGGAAAUAGCUUACUUAUCUUAGGCAUUUUUACUGAUGUAGGUUUAUCUAAGUGUCAUAAUAGGUUACUAGAUGUCCUCCUAAGGCAUUGGACCAUUCUUUUCUCCUUCUUUCAUGCUAACCCAUGUAUUUGGGCCUGAAGAAUGGGCCUGAGUUUUAAUACUCCCAAGUAGCUUAAAACUUUCAUUCCUCGAACCCUCAAUGGGCCCUGUGAUUGCUUGUUUCCUUCCAUACCACAACAUUCUCAGCAAGCCCCGGGUAAUUUUGUGGCUUGGACUCACUUAAGCUUGUGGCACAGCUUGGUAUUAGAAUAGUGGUCCUUUGCACGGCAUUUAUUUAACAUGCUUGCAUUUGAGUUUUUAUCAUGCCGUGAUAGGCUAUAAUUGGGCCAAGUAACACUGGAUGGGUAGAUGAGCAUGAUUUUGUGGAGCCGGUAUGCUCUUGACCCCUUUUGUGCAUGCUUGCUUGGUAUGACACGUGAAUUGUGGCUUGCAUUGAUGCGUCCUUCAAAUUCUCUUUUGUUCCGAUCGGGCUCCUUUUGCAUUCAAUCUCUCUGUGUUAGGCCAGAAAUUGAUCUGGGCCUAGCUCCUUGAAUUUCUAGGCCUCAACAAAUGCAAAUCCUUUGUGACUAAAAACAAUUCUGCACUAAAAUUUUUGAAAAAUAAUAUCGAUGCCUUUAUCAACAAAAUGGCCUAAUUCACAGAAUUUAGGUAAAUUUUAAACAAAAAUUGAUUAAAAAAACCAGAGAAAUGCCAUCAUAUUUUAAUCCCCACUAGAUACAUGCACAUAAGACGCGCUUAGGAUAUUCAUUCGGAUAUAAAAUCAAUAGGAUCCAAAAUUUGGUGUUUAUCAGAUUUAGGAUGAUAAGCUAAAUUUGAUAGUCUCAAUACGACUUGAAUUGAAUUCGGUAAUCUUAUUAUAAUUCACAUUGUUUGUUAACUUGUAAUAUAAUCACCUUAAAUCACUCAAACUCACUAUGCAACACAUUUCAUUCAAUUCUUUUGUGUCAAAAUAAUUGACUACUUGAACAUCUUUUAAAAGUUUCAUUACGUCAAUGGGGUAUAACUCAGUUGACUAAGCUCUUCCACCUCCACUCAUGUAGGCAAAAGUUCGAGACACUCAGGCACCUAAUGAAUAUUUGUGUAAACCACCCCCCCAAUCACUUGUACUAUAUAAAAAAAUUCAUUACAAAUUUUCAUGUUUUUCUUAUCAUUUCCAUUAUUUUUAAAAAAAAAAUCUAGUUUUUAUCAAUAUCGAAAAUUUUUCACGUAUAUAUAUUUCCAAAUUUUUAGACCACAAAUAUUUUUGAAACCAUCGAUAUUUAGUACCUUACUUCUUACCAAAAAACUUUCUGUAAGGAUUGUAUUUUGACAUGUUUGUUGUUUGGCUCUUCUCUUGUAUUUCACAAAACCAUUGUAUUAAUUCUUGUUAUAGACUAGAGGUUGUGUCUGAAAUAGAUUGAAGAUAAAUUCGAGUCCUCACGUUGCUGCCAAAGGUAAAUCUCACAUGCAUUCUCACUGGAUUAAUACAUGUUCACGUGUAUUAAUCCAACAUUCAUUCUUACGUGUUUGCUGCAACAUUUCUCUUUAUUUCAGCUUUGACAGACUUUCUUAAAACUCUGUCUACAAAAGGAAUAAUUCUAUCUUUGGUGGUGGUGUCUUGAGCCGCUCCCAUGCUAAAAGUCUGGAGCUUGAAAAAACAGUGUGAUUUUCAAAAGCUCUAUAUAUAUAUUCUUCUAGACAGAGUUGCAAAAACAACUUUUUGACUCAUGCAUUUUUAAUAGAUGACUUAUGCCUUCUUUCUAGAUAUACUCUGGACAUGAAAACCGAGAGGGAAUAAAACUCUGAAAAGAGUUUGCCUUCAGCCAAAGUUCAUAUCCUGAGGGUUAUGAGAAUGAUUGCAUUCACAUAAAUGCUUCCCCAAGAUGACUUUAAAGCUUUAAUGGCUGGCUGUUUUUUCUUCACUUCAAUCUUCUUUAAUGUUUCAGCUAGUAUAUGUUACUUGAGAGUAUACGAUUGAUAGUAUACAUAUAACCUUCUCCGUGUAUACAUUUACAAGAUUGCGGCUGCAAACCUUUUCUUUGUUGUUGUUAUGUUGAAUUAAACUACAUGCUUCAAGUACUUUACUUCUAGUUUAUUCUUCACGACACUUAGGUUUCAUUUGUCUAGCUCAAUUAUUCUCUGUGAUUGAGAUAGAUGAAUCUUGAAAUCAUGACUCACCUCAUACAUCAAAAUUACAUACAACUAGAGCUUGGUGCUCUUGAGAGGAUUUGCUGCUACGAGAUAAAGAAAAGGUGCUUGUUGAAAGGUUGAUUGAAGCUGCCUAUAGGUGAUAGAUUGAGCUAAGUCUUCUUUCAUUUUUCUUGUAUUUCUUAAUGAGUGGAUUGGAUCUCUCCUGAUUUGGUGCUCCCAGUUUUUCACCUACUUGGGUUUUCUGGGUCAACAACUCCUGUGUGUCGUUUACUUUCAGCUGUUAAUUGUCUUCCCUUAUUAAUCACAUAAUUGUUUGUAUGUGUAUGUGUACGACUUAACAGAACUUUUUAAAAUUGGUAGGUCUUUGACCGGUAGCCUACUUCACCCCCCUUUGUAGGCUCUUAGAGCUUAGGGUUUGGUUUUACACGUUCCUUAUUUAUUGUAAAAUUAAUGAGACUAACUAUUUAUAACAAAAGCCAUAAUUUCACUCAUAAUAAGCAUCAAUAUACAUUACAGAUGCGAAGUAUUUUCCUGUCAUCUUCAUAGUGGAUGUGAAGUCAAAGGAAAUAAGAAAAUGGUCAAAAGGAAACACCGACAAACCACAAAAUGAAAAAGAAAAAAGAAGCAUCAAUACACUUUCGUUGCAACAUUGGUGUUUACCAAGUAGUUGGGGUGUGGAAAAAAAAGAAGACAAAAGGUCGAUUGUUGAUGAAGUUGACUGAAAUAGAUCAGGAUUUUCAAAAUUAACCUCCAUAAUUGUUAGAAGACAAAAUUUUGUUAUUGGCGAGUCAAUUAAUUCAUAAAAUUGAGCUUUCACAUUGGUGAAAAGUUGAAGGUUUUUCAUCUUUGAGAAGCUGUCAUCACUCAAGCAUAUGUCAUCUGGUGUCGGAAACUUUGCUAUGAUGCCUUUAAUAUUGUUUGUUUCCUAUUAUUAAAAAAAAAAAGAAGUUGUUUUAACAUACAAAGCUUUAUAGCAAAUAAAAAUGCAAGUGUACACACACACAGAGACUUACUGUUCCUUCUGUUAGAACACGAUAAACAUUCUCGUGAAAUCACAAUCUGCUACGUUCACUAGGCUCAUUUGGCGACUCUUGAUAAACUAUUCUUCUACCCAAUUCUUCAAGCAAGUCAUGCAUCCCAAUUGUGCCUUGUUCAAUAUUUAUGAGGGCCUUGUCUACGAGUACUUUAAUAGCAUACUUAGGCUUGAGGUCACAACCUUCCAGGAUCGGUAUCAUAUGGUUCACCUUUCUACCGUUAAAGAAACAUGCUAUGUCAAGGAAAACUUCUUGCACUGAAUAUUCCAAUGCAUCAUAGCUUAUUUUGAGAGUUUUUUUAAUGUCCGAGUGCAGAUUCCCAUCCAAUGCAUCAUGCCACUCAUCUAUACUUCUACCACAUAGAUGAGAACCUAAAACCUUGAGAGCUAAAGGAAGACCUUGAGCAUGCUUCAGCACACAUUCUGCAAGUUCCACAUAAUCAUCAUCCAAAUUUCUAUUUCUUGUAAAACCAUUCCAACUAAAGAAGAGAUCAAGAGAUUCAUGAUAAUUUAAUUUCUUUGCCUCGUAGAUUAUACUAACUCAAUGAGAAGUUAGCAAAUGCUUAUCUCUUGUCGUUAUGAUAAUUCUACUGCCCAAACCAAACCAAUCACAACCUCCAACUAAGUUGUUUAAUUGGUCCAAAUGAUCCACAUCAUCUACAAUUACAAGGACCUUUUUACCACUCAACCUUUCCUUUAUCACACUGAUUCCUUUAUCGGCACUGGUAACCUUUAUUUCCUUUCCCCUUGGAAUCUCAUAAAGAAGAAGAUUUUGUAGGUCGACUAGGCCUCCAUAUGGUAUUGAUCUUUCUCUUACAUUUUCCAGAAAACAACUCCUUUCAAACACUUGGGCCAGUGAGUUAUAAACAGCUUUAGCAACAGUUGUCUUUCCUAUUCCACCAGUCCCCCAUAUUCCUACCAUGCAAACGUCAUUUCCGUAAACAUCUAAAACUUUAUGAAGAUCUCGUACACUAGCCUCUAUUCCAACUUGGUAUUUUGCCACAUUGAUAUGGAUAUCAUUUAAUACUUGUAAGGAAAUCUCGUUGACAAUGUUCUGAAUAAAUUCAGUUUCACGGCUGCCAAUUUGAAGCACAAACAACAUUUAAAUAAAAUGGGAUUUUUCUAUAUAUAUUUUAAAGAAGUGCUCGACUCAAUACUAGUGUCAAUUAUGUCGUGAAUCUAUAUAUAUAAAGCAAAAAGCAGAGAAUGGUGAAACAUUCAAAAUACCAUAAAUGUCAUUGAUUAAUGCAAACAUUAAGAAUUGAAAUUAUUAAUUAAAUGAGGAUAAUAUGGUAAAUUCACACUUUUUCAUAUUAAAAAUAAAUUAAAAUUAAAAGAAAAAAAAUUAGAAAACACGUGACCAAGCUAUGAUGUUAGGGAAAGCGUGUGAUGGAAUGGACACUAGGAUAACAAUAGAAGAGAUUGGUUUUCGUAACAGAGUGAUUUUAUUAGAAAGGAGAGAAGUACACUGCUUGGUAGCUAUUAUAGAUAUUUGAUACUAUUAUCUUCAAUAUUUGAUAGCUAUUAUAGCAUUUUCGGAUCCUAAAUUACUCUAGAAAUUUCUACCAAAUGUCCAUCAUAUUUUAACAGUUACAAUAACAGAUUCUGCAACCCUGGGAGAAAUAAUGUAGCUAUUGGUUGGCUAAUUAGCCUUUCAGUGAUGUAACUAUUUGCUGCAAUUUAUAUUACUGUUGUAUUGAUUCAAUUAUAUUUAUAUAAAAUAUAUUCGUUGGUUUUUAUUAUUUUGUUAUUUUGGUUUUAUACUGAUUGUUUUACAACAACUAGUACAUCAGUCGUUAAACACCUUGCAAUUACAUAAAAAUUUGAAUGCAAACCCUUUGUGUCUUGAAACAAUUCUGCACUAAAUUUUUUGAAAAAUAAUGUUGAUUCCUUUAUCGACAAAAUGACUAAUUCACAAAAUUUAGGUAAAUUUUAAACAAAAGUUGAUUAAAAAAGACAAGAGAAAUGCCAUCAUUUUAAUCCCCACUAGAUACACGCACAUAGUGGAUGUGAAGUAGUUUCCUGCCAUCUUCAUAGUGGAUGUGAAGUCAAAGGGAAUAAGAAAAUUGUCAAAAGGAAACACCGACAAACCACAAAAAGAAAAAGACAAAAGAAGCAUCAAUACACUGUCAUUGCAACAUGGGUGUUUACCAAGUAGUUGGGGGUGUGGAGAAAAAAAACAAAAACAAAAGGUCGAUUGAUGAUGAAAGAUAACUAAAAUAGAUCAGGAUUGUAAAAAAUAACCUCCAUAAUUGUUACAAGACAAAAUUUUGUUAUUGGCGAGUUAGUUAAUUCACAACGCGUCAUGCUAACUAUUAGAUAGAAAAGUAUUCAUACGUGAGUUUAAUAUAUUAUCGUCUUUCUCAAUAAGAAAUGUGAAACAUUCAAAAUACCAAAAAAUAUCCUUGGUUAAUGCAAACAUUAAGAAUUGAAAUUAUUAAUUAAAUAAGAAUAAUAUGGUAAAUUCAUACUUUUUUAUAUUAAAAAAAUUAAAAUGAAAAGAAAAAUCAGAUAAUGAAUCUUAUUUUUAUGAGACACAACUACUCAUCAUCUUUUUAAUUCUAAAAUAAUUUUUUUUUCUUCAAAAAGCCUCUCACAAGCGCAAAAGCUCGUGCGGAGAUGCUAGUUAUAAAUAAAUAAAAACUAGUGUAUUUUGUUUUUGUUUGUUUGUUAAAAAAUAAUAUAUGGUUUAAUGGGUUGUCCUGUUAAGGGAAAGCUUAGAGGCAAUAAUUUAAACUUUUGGAAAAACAAUAAUCCCAAAUGUACGAACCAUUCAUCCGCUAAUAGCUUGCGAAAAUAUAAUUAAAAUGGGAAAACAAAAAACAAAUACACUAGUAAUAAGUUUAUGUAUCCACUAAAACUUAAUUACAUGGAGGCAAUCCAAUGGAUCACUAAUGAUUUUUUCAUCAAAACAACCUAGUUAUAUAUAAUUACCGAAAAAACUAAUGACUCAUUUUUCAUGGCCAGAGAAGCGAGCAAAGGUCCUUCAACAAAUAAAACAUGUGUACAAGGUGUCACCAAGGCACAAAACGGUCCAUAAGCAAACGAACUUUGGCAUCUGAAAGCGUAGAGGAAUCCAAGUCCCUCUGAAUCUGAGCCAUUCUGCUGCUCUCUAUUCUUGCUUCUUUGAACACUACUUGUUCUUUAACCUCAUCAUCACCUUCUCCUUGUUUGGCCUUCGAUGAAAACACCAUUCGCUUCUUAGCCCCCACCUUGUCUUUCAGCUUUGCCAACUCGCUCAUCCAAACCUCCACCACUGCAGACAUGCUUGAACUUGAAAACUUGAAAUUCUGGCUUGGUCUUGACUGUUGAGUUUGAUCAAGGAUGAUGAGGAGGGCUGGCUAUUAUGGUUGUUGGGUUAUAUAGAAGAGAGAGAGAGAGAAAGAGAAAGAGGGCCUUGCCCUUCAUGUGGUUUGGAUUGGAUGAAAAACCAGUGUGUCACAGACAGCCGCUGGUUAUAGGCUCGCACACAGGAAUAUUCCUUGGGAAGAGAGAGAGAGAGAGAGAGAGAGAGACUAGAAAGUGGGGUAUGAGUUUUGUUGAGUGAGUGAAAAGCUUCCCCGUGGGUGGGCGCACGGAACUCUCUUCUUUAGAUUAAUCUUGUGGGCGACUUAGCAUAUUACUAUUCAUAAUAAUAUUCCAUUGCAUCUUAGUUUUCCUUGUGUCUUAUUCCAACAUUGCAAUUCUCUUUCUCCGAAAUACCCAUUCACCUCUUCAUCAUCAGUAAAAGUAGCCAUCUUCAUUAUCUUCACAGCUGAAGUAGUCAUGUUCCGAGUCUUGCUCAUCUUCACAUAGAUCAAUACAAUUAUCUCCAUCAAACCUCUCAUUAGCAUCUUCCAAGUCAUCGGAUUCAGACUCACCAUCUUCCGUAAAUAUAGACAAGUCUUCAUCAUCCUGUGUCAUUACCAGGUGGACCCCGAAGCUUUUUAAACACAGCGAAUCUAGUGUCAAAUUCAGAAAAUUAACUCGACACGCAAAAGGCGACCGCGGCCAGGUAAUCUGAUCAUCCCGGUAAAACAUUUCGCUGAAUCGAAUAUAGCACAGCCACACAUGACCUGACCCUAUACCAUGACCUGACCCGUUCUUUCUGAAAUCGGACGCAGUAAAAUAAGGUUCCACUCCUGGUUGAUUCACGGAAAUUUUUGUUACAAAACCAUUGUAACGUGGUCUUUUGUUUUGCGGGUUUUCACCAGCAGCGUAUAGAGCCAAUCCUUGGUUCUGGCAUUUGAAGUUUGGAGGGAUUUCAAUCAAAAAUUCACAUGCUUCAUCACGCUCCUUCACAUACUUAUGACAGCUGAACAACGUCGAGAGAGCUUCAAAACUUGCUGGAAAUACAACCUGAAAUCCAUGUUUCUGCGAAGACAGAAGGUGAUCAAAGAAGAUAGUGAUCUGCUCCUUUGCUAAAAUGUUUUGCUUCUUUCUGAGGUCACAAGCCAGAUUGCCGCAGAGUCUGUGGCAAUUACACAAGUCCACCAACUUAAUCAUUUGUGAGUCUUCUUUACCCUUCAGAAUGUUGGACAAUGAUGAAAACCUUUCCAAUGAUACGCAAUCACUUGCAUCUAACUUUACUAUUUUUGGUGGAAGUUCCGGAAUAUCUCUAAGCCUCUUGCAGCCAUGCAAGUAAAGAUACCGCAUAUUGACAAAUUUCGUAAUGCAUUUGGGAAUACUUACAAGGAAAUCACAUAGUGUUAGAUCAAGUUCGCUCAAUGUAGACACAUAAUCUUCAGACUUCACUUUAUUUGGAAAUGUAACAAGCUUUCGACUUCUUCGGAGACAAAUGCGGUUUAAAUGUUCCAACUCAUAAAUGCUGGGUGGCAGAUUCGUAAGAUUUUCACAACUGCUUAGGUGUAAUAACUCAAGAUUGAUGAGAUAUACAAUUGACGCUGGCAAUUCUUUGAUGCCACUACCAUGUAGAAACAUGUAACGUAAGGAAUCCAUCUUUCCCCCAAUAUCAGGGAAAGUCUCCAGUCUUCUGCAAAAUUGAAGAUUGAGAACUUCUAGAGAUUUUGACUUGAUUAUUGGAAAUAGUGUGAGGUUAUGGCAACACAUAAGACUCAAGUCCACAAGCUUAUCAUGAAAUCCAACAGAAGGAUGAACCUCAACUAAACUUCUGCAGUAGUCUAGAUUCAAGGACUGUAAGUUUGGAAUUCCAGAGAUAUUUGGGGUUUUUGUUAGGAGUUCACAGCUCCUAAAAUUCAUGGACGUCAAAUUUUGCAAACGCUAUAUAAGACAAAAAUAGAAAAGAAAAAGAAGGAUCAAACGAUAAGGCAUAAACAAGUUUAAGCCAUAACUCCAGAAACUUAAUAAACUUUUGAAAAUACGAAGGGAUGAAAAUAAUUUAAAUUACCUUGAAUCCCUCCCCAAGUUGUGACAAGCGGCUACAAGGCAUAUAAAGUUCAACAAGUUUCCUUGGAUUGAAAGUAGAUGGUAAAGUUUGUAGAGGACAACCAGGCCAAUGAAGAAACCUCAACUCAUUAGAUAGAUAAUCCACGUGAUCGCCAUAAAAUCGUGCAUUCACAUUGAUGAAAAGUCGAAGGUUUUUCAUCUUUGAGAAGCUGUCAUCACUCAAGCAUAUGUCAUCUGGUGUCGGAAACUUUGCUAUGAUGCCUUUAAUAUUGUUUGUUCCCUAUUAUUAUAAUUUUUUAAAAAGUAGUGUUAACAUACAAAUUUCAAUAGCAAAUAAAAAUGCAAGUGUACACACACACACACUUACUGUUCCUUCUGUUAGAACACGCACUACUACAAAAAAGCAAAAAGACGACGGUAAAUCACCGUCGUGUAUUCGGUUUUUCAAUGGUCGUGGAAUCCACCGUCAUCUUUUCCCUCAUAAACCACGACGCUAAAUCACCGUCGUUGUUAAAAUAUACAACGUCAUCAACAAAUACAAAACGACGUCUUUGUACUGCAAAAAGAUCUAAAAAAGCAGUCGAGGAUGAGAAUAGACGACCAACUCUCUAAAAAAACCGUCGUUAAAAAGGAAAAAUAUGACACAUAUUAAGAUAACAAGGCCGCAAGAUAGACAUACAAUGACGAAAAUAAAAAUACCACGCCGUUAAAUAUCAUUUUCACGACAAUAAAAAAUUUGACGUCUUUAAAUACAUUAGAAGACGACGUUAUUGAUACCUACUACGUCGCAUAUAUAAAAACAGCCGUCGUAAAAUUAAUUUUCCACUUCGAUUUUUCGAUAAAAGAUGACGUGGAAAUAGUUGUCAGUGUCAUUAUUUACGACGUAUGUAUUUAUAGAGUAGACGUUGAAAAACGAAACAACGUCAGUUACAAAUAUAUGAGAGUCGUAUUACAAAAUUUAUACGUCAUAUUUUCAGAAACAAACAACGACGAUAAAUAUUCAACGUUGUUAAAUAAACCAACGUCGGAAAACAAUAAAAACAGACGUGUUUAGUCUGCUAAAGUUCUAGAAAAUAGUCGAGGAUGAGAAUAGACGACCAACUCAAACAAAUCACCGUCGUUAAAAAGGAAAAAUAUGACACAUGUUAAAAGAACAAGGCCGCAAGAUAUACAUACAACGACGAAAACUAAAAUACUACGCUGUUAAAUAUAAUUUACACGACAAGAAAAAAUAUGACGUCUUUAAAUACAUGAGAAGACGACGUUAUUGAAAUAUACUACAUCUCUUAUUUACAAACAACCGUCGUGAAAUAAAUUUUCCACUUCGAUUUUUCUAAAAAAGAUGACGUGGAAAUAGUUGUCAGUGUCAUUAUUUACGACGUAUGUAUUUAUACAGUUGACGUUGAAAUGCGAAACAACGUCGGUGGCAUUUAUAUAGUCGACGUUGUAUUUAUAUCUAUCAUCAUUACUCACGACGCACUUAAUAAUAUAGACGACGUUGAACUUCUAAACAACGUCGGUUCCAAAUAAAUGAGAGCCGUAUUACAGAACAUAUAGACGGCGUUGAUUAUGAUGAGAGCCGUAUUACAAAUAACGUCGUUUAAUUGUUAUUAGACGGCGGUUAUAAUGAAUUUCCGUCGGAAUUCAUUUCGUUCCUCUUCGUUUAUAAAAGAACUUGCGACGUGGAAAAUGUAUGAUGACGUCGUAUUUUUUAACGUUCAGAUUAUAUAUCUCGUUUUUUAGACGUCGGUAUUAUGGGAUUGGAGUCGUGUUAUUUUGAAUUACAUGGCGGUUCUUAAUCCUUCCCCGACGUGAUAUCCUGAAUAAUUGCUUCACAAUAGCGUCGUGGUUCUUCAUUGUUACGUUGCUUUAAGACGUCGGUAAAUAUGCUGAAUAACUGGUUCACAAUAACGUCGUGUUUUAUUUGAACGUAGAAAGUGAAGAAAUCACAUUACAAUAUAUUACAAAAUUAAUGUCAUACACUGCCAAUUACAUAAGCAUCAUUCAAUCCAUAUAUCUUCACACCCAUCUCGAAUAUUUUGACCGCCUAACUCACCCACCAGUUCAUCAAAUGUGUCAACAUUUGGCAUCCCUCUAGUAAAUGGCUCACACUCAAUUAUCACAUCACCUAAGACUUCAUCACCAAUAACAUCAUUAUAUUCUCUAUUAGGCAUUGAUAACACUACCGACCAACUAUGAUGCAUCGGGUCGUCAACAAAAAAUAUUUGUUUGACUUGAGAAGCCAAAACAAAUUGGUCAUUCCUAUGUCCAAUUUUACUCAAAUCUACAAGGGUAAAUCCAAGUUCGUCGACUACAAGACCAGAACUAUCUAUCCAAUCACACCUAAAGACUGGGAUUGUAAACUUUUGGUAGUCAAGGUCCCAAAUUUCUUGAAUGACACCAUAGAAACCCAUAUUUGAGAGAAUUGGGUUUUUAUCCUUGGCACUAGCAACUUGCAUGGUAUGUGCAAGUAAAUAAACUCCACUAUUUUGAGUUGUCCGCACAUCAUCUUGUGCCUUGAUAUUGAAUUUAAUACCUUUAAUAAGAUAGCUCCUAUAUAAUGGCACUGACAUGUUUGGACCAGCUGCUAGCCACCUUAAAUUUUCUGAUACGCCGUGAUUGUCUUCCUCAAGUUCACUUUGAACCUGCAAAUUAAUCAUAUCUUAAUUCAAUCUAACAUAUAAAUAAGAAGAAAAUUAAAAGAGAAAUAUGUUAUUCAACAACAUAUACCUUGAAGCGUAGCCAUUGAAUGAAAGUGCUAUUGUGCUUAUCCUGCAGCCACUUUGUUCUCUUUCUAAAUUUUGGAUAAGCAAUCUUGAUGUGGAUCAUAUGUUGCCUACAUGACACGAAAAAUUCAAGCAUUACGGUCCCAAAUAUAGAAGAUAAACAUAAGAAAUAAUUUAAAAUGGAAACUUAAAGAAUAAAGCUCAUACGUACUCGAUAUAAGGUAGGACUUCCUCCGUAUUCUCCAAGACAUAUAGAUGUGCUUGAUUCAAUAGGUCCUGAUCAACUACGCUCACUGUGCAACCUGAUAAUGGCUUUGAAAGUCCCAUCUUUUGGCUUGAAGGCACUCCAACUGUACUAACAUCAGAUAAAUGCUGAGUACAAAACUCUACCGCUUCUUCAGCUAUAUACCGCUCAGCAAUGCAACCUUCGGGACGAGUACGAUUCUGAACAUACCCCUUCAGCACUUUCAUAUAUCUUUCAAACGGAUACAUCCACCUAAAAUAUACUGGCCCACAUAGACGAACUUCUCUGACAAGAUGUACUACUAGAUGAACCAUGAUAUCAAAGAAUGAAGGGGGAAAGUACUUCUCAAGCAAACACAGAGUAACUACUACAUCUUCUUCCAACUUAUCUAGCUUGGAAACAUCAACAGUCUUUGCACAUAUAGCAUUGAAGAAGAAGCACAAACGAGUUAUUGCAUACCUUGCAGGCUUCUCCAAAACAGAACGAAUUGCCACAGGGAGCAAUUGUUGCAUUAAGGUAUGACAAUCAUGUGAUUUAAGGCCAAGAAGUCUUGAAUCUUGUAAAGAUACAAGAUUUUUAAUAUUUGAAGAAUAACCUUCAGGGACCUUCAUACCAUAGAAAGAAUUGCAAACCUCUCUCUUCUCUGCUCUUGACAAAUUCCAAGGCCCAGGAGGCAAACGAGUACGUCUUUCUCCAUACUCGGGUUGCAAAUCAGUUUUGACCCCCAUGUUCAAUAAAUCUAAUCGAGCAGCAAUCCCAUCUUUAUUUUUUCCAGGGAUCUCCAGCAAUGUACCAAUGAUACUAUCGCAAACAUUCUUCUCAAUGUGCAUAACAUCUAGGGCAUGCCUCACAGGAAGGUAUUUCCAAUACUCGAGAUCAAAGAAUAUUGAUUUCUUCUUCCAACAAACUCUGUCACCAUUUUCAACCAUAUGCAGCACUUCUUCUCCGGUUAAUGGCUCGGGAGGUAUGCCAUAUUCAGGUUUCCCAUUAAAAGCUGCACGUUGCCUCCUAUAUGGAUGAUUGAUUGGUAACCAUUUUCUAUGCCCAAUGUAACAAAUUUUGUGGCCAUUUUUCAACCUGUGACUAGGUGUAUCAUCGCCGCAUAUUGGACAAGCUUUAUAUCCUUUAACAACACAACCAGAUAAGUUUCCAUAGGCGGGGAAAUCAUUAAUUGUCCACAUUAAUGCAGCUCUGAGUGUAAAGUAUUCUCCAUUAUGUGCAUCAUACACUCCUCUAAUCCCAACCCACAAGGAUUUUAAAUCAUCAAUCAAAGGCUCCAAGUAGACGUCUAUAUCAUUUCCGGGUUGUUUAGGACCGGAAAUCAAUAAGGUUAACAUCAUGAACUUUCGUUUCAUGCACAGCCAUGGAGGGAGAUUAUAUGUAACUAAGAUAACCGGCCAACAACUAUAUCUGCUACUUAGAGAACUGUGGGGGAUUGAAUCCAUCAGAUGAAAGAGCCAAUCUCAAGUUUCUCGGCUCAUUACCAAACUCAGGCCAUUUAUCAUCAAGAAGUUUCCAAGACGGGGAAUCCGCCGGAUGAGACAUCUGACCGUCAAUUGAUUUUCUAGCAGCAUGCCACCAAGUCAAACUCUUAGCUGUCUCAUGUGAUUGAAACAUCCUUUUAAACCUUGGAAUUGGGGGAAAAUACCACACCACCUUCGCUGGCACACCCUCUUUCAAGAUUGAAUCUUUGCCUUCCUUCCACCUUGAGAUACCACAAGUAGGACAAUUAGUUGAAUCCUCAUACUCCUUCCUAUACAAGAUGCAAUCAUUGGGGCAUGCGUGCAUUUUCUCAUAACUCAGCCCCAAUGCACACAAAGUCUUUUUAGCCUCAUACAUGGAGGUUGGUAUUGUAUUUCCUUCUGGAAGCAAAUCGCCUUGAAGUAUCAAUAAUUCUGUAAAACAGACAUCACUCAUCCCAUGUUUUGCCUUCAAAUUAUACAACUUCACUAAUGCCGAUAACUUCGUGUACUUUCUACAACCAGGGUACACUGGUUGAUCUCCAUCCCCAAUCACAUUGGCAAACUCAUACGGAUCCGAACCAAAAUCACCAAAAUCAUUAUCAUCCAUAUCAAUUUCUUCAGACACAAAACUGUACCUACUAUGGCCAUCAUCUUCUUCAACAUUUCUGCUAGCAUUAGUAGUUGCUUCCCAAGGUUCUCCGUGAAAUGUCCAAUUCUUAUAGCUUUGGUCAAUUCCAUUAAAGUAUAAGUGAUCCCUUAUAAUUCCAACCCCAAACAACUUCAAAUUAACACAUUUAACACAUGGACAACGGAUAUGUGUUGUAGUUAGAAGAUUUUCUACAGCAAAGUUCAAAAAUGCUUCCACCCCAACUCAUAUGCCUUCGAUCUUCUAUCCGAGUGCAUCCAUGACUUAUCCAUCUCCGACACUAUAACCUAUUAUCUAUAAUAAAGUGAAAAUACAGGCAAUGACCAUCACUAUAGCAGAUUAUACAAUGAUCUAAUCGCAAGUAAUACACAACAGAGACGACGGGUUUUAAACAAAAACAGACGUAUUUGGAAUAUAUAGACGACGGAUUUUCAACAGACGUCGUCUAUUAUAAGUAAUACAAACGACGGUUUAUGAAAAAACUAUCGUGUAUAAGUAAUACAACGACGGUAGUUUAAAAAAACCGUCGUGUAAUCGUCGUCGUAAGCCUUAAAAUUCGUCGUGUCUCAGUUUAUUUUCAAGAACACAAAACCCAUUAAGAACACAACAUAUAUAUGAAACCAAGCAAGAAACCAACAUAUACAUGAAACCAAGCAUGAAAACAAUAAAUCCAUUCCCAAUUCAACAUAACAUAGGGUGAUUAAAAGAUACGACAAAAUUAAAUCCAUUCCCAAUUCAACAUAACAGAUAAUGUAAUCCAUGAACCCAUUAAACAGAAAAUCCAUGAACCCAUACCUAUAAGCACAUUAUUAACAGAUCGCAAAGCAUACACAUAAAACCCUUUAACAAAACAACCUAAUAUAACUCGAAUCGUUACUAGAAUCAUCACUCGAAUCUCCAUCUUCAUUAUCAGUUUCUUCCUUCGUAGGUACUAUUUGCUCCCCAUCAUUGGUGCACUUUGCACCUUCUCCAGAGCGGAAAAUGACAAGAUCAAAUAAAGGUGUACUUUUGCUGGAAAUCAACACAAAAAGACACAGAUCAUCAACUUCCAAAUGAUUGUCACGCACAACGUCCAUCCAACCACGCCUGAAUUGUAUAAGUUUUACAAUGUUGGUUUGAGCAAAGGAAGGCCCAGAUCAGGCGNNNNNNNNNNNNNNNNNNNNNNNNNNNNNNNNNNNNNNNNNNNNNNNNNNNNNNNNNNNNNNNNNNNNNNNNNNNNNNNNNNNNNNNNNNNNNNNNNNNNAGCAUGAAACAAUAAAUCCAUUCCCAAUUCAACAUACAUAGGGUGAUUAAUAGAUACGACAAAAUUAAAUCCAUUCCUGGAUGGACGUUGUGCGUGACAAUCAUUUGGAAGUUGGUGAUCUGUGUCUUUUUGUGUUGAUUUCCAGCAAAAGUACACCUUUAUUUGAUCUUGUCAUGAACCCCUUUAACAAAACAACCUAAUAUCAUUCAAUGAAUUUACAAGGGGAAGAUAGGGUUUGUACUUACAGGUUGGACGAGCUCACAGAUUCGACGGAGCCUGGAGAGUGCAACUUUUAAUUAGAGCAGAAGUGAGAGAGCGAAAUGUUAUGUCGCGCGAAAUCUGAAAAUUUUAGGUUUCAGGGUUCGAAGUAUAAGAAUAAGAGCCAAAUCUAAAAAAAUUUAGGUCGCGCGAAAAUUUUUAGAGCUCGCGCGUUUUAAAACGUCGAAAGAAAAACCAAGGCGAAAGUUCUACAAGUACCGACGUAAAUUUAAUAUUCCACGACGGAAACUUCAUUUUUCGAAUUAAGAACGUAAGGCCGUUCAUUUUGAAGCUUCAUUUUUCGGAUUAAUUUUAAAUUUAUUUUGAAUUUUUUAUAUAACGACGACUGAAAAACCACGUCGGUGUUAAGAAAUUAAAGACGUUGUAAAUCAUAUAAACCGACUUACAUAUUAAAAUGACGUCGUUUAAAGCGUAAACCAUGUCGUAUGUUUUUCUGUACGACGUAAAAUAUGUAUUCCACGACGCAACCACCGUCGUUAAAAAUUAAUACCCUAAACCCAUAAAACUAAAUUAUACAAUUUAAAAAAUUAAGUUUAUAAAAGGUUUUAUGGUUUUAAAGCCUAACAUAUACCCUAGACUACCCAAAAAUUAUACUUUAAAAAUAAACCCCAAUAAAUAACAACCCUAAUCUCUAAACCCUAGACUCUAAACCCUAAACCAUAAAACUAGAAGUGAUUUUAUGACUCAUCAAAACAAUUUUGUUUUGGAUGGUCAUUUUAAAUUUUUGUUAUUCAAAAUGAAUUUUUUCAAGGUUUAUGUGGAAGAAAAUAUAUCAAUGACUUCAUAGGAGUGGACUUUUCAAUUUUCUGAUUUAUUUUAAAUUUAUUUUGAAUAUUUUGAUAUAAAAAUAAUAAAAUAUUCUUACCACAACAACAAACCACGUCGGUGUUAAUAAAUUGUAGACGUUGUAAAUUGUAAUAAACUACUAAGUCGUUAAAAUGAGUCGUUAAAAUGAGAAACCAUGGCAGCUAUUUAACUAUACGACGUAAAAUAUAUAUUCCACGACUUAACCGCUGUCGUUACAUAAACGAUAAACGACUAUUAGGGUUGUAAACCAUAAACGACUCAAUUGUUCAAAGAACGUCGUCUAACUAUAUUUUUACGUCGUAUUUGUUUAAAACACGAAACAACAAAAUACGACGGUUUUUGACUUUAUUAGGUCGUUGGAAAAGUAUUACACGUCGGUUAAGCAAUUUGUAUGUUUGUUUUUUUUUUAAUUUAAGAAAACCUCAACAAAUUUUUACAUUACAUAUUAUAGAGAAAAUUUGUACAUUAUACAUAAAUAUCAAGUGUUCAAUAAUUGCCCUGUUUAAUAAUUUGGAAAACAAACUCUGCCCAUUCAUUCCGGACUUCAUCAAUGGCUUCUUGGGGGUAUGAAGCUUCCUGGUUUCCCUUGGCAUACUGCAUAAACAAUGACUAUUAGGGUUUAUAAAUAAAAAGAAAUUCAAUCACAGACAACGAUAUUUUUCAUAACCGACGUAGUAUAUCCAUUCAACGACGUUAAUUUUACAUGACCGUCGUUGAUAAUACAAAAAACGACGUGAAAUGUAUGAAGGUAAUUUCUUCUUACCUUAUUCUCAAACCCCAAGGAAGGAUCCAUGAUGAUGUCCCUCAUGAAGCGCAUCACAUAAUACCCGCAUUCGACAUUGCUGGGUUGCUUUGGUGUGCCUGAGAGAGUUUUCCAAAUUACAUUUUUACGUCCUGCUCGGCCUAUGUGGGUAUUAUAUAUUUUUAAAGCACUGUUCACGAUGUUUUUCGCCUCUUCGUCGACCACACGAUGACCUGGCAGAGGAUCCAGAAAAUAGACGGUCUCCUUCUUUGCUCUUACAAUCAGCAAGAUCCAAUGACGGCUGCACAAAAUUAAUAUAAAAACGACGGUUAUUUACAAAAACGACGUAUUAUAGUAUUUCACACGACGAAAUAAAGUAGAUAACGACGACAUUAUAUAUUUAUCACGACGAUAAAUAAAUACCGACGUGGUUAGUAGUUUCAAACGACUAAAUAAAAUAAAACACCGACGUGGUUAGUUUAUAUGCUGUCAUUUAUUGAAAAUCAUAAAAACAAAAUCCUAAGGAGACUAACCCUGGAUUGUAAGGCAUCAUGAAAAUCUGUUCACCGUCUGUCUUCUGAAGUCGAGCUGCUACCAGUCGUGAUCUUUCAGUUAUUGUGCCAGAGUUGGCACUAACUGUAGCAGGGUCGAUAAAGCCAACCAUGCUGCACAUAUUGGCUUGUUUCAAAACAUCGUGUAAGUACCUAAAUACAUAAAAUAAUAUAAACAAGUCAGCACAAACAAACACGACGGUUAUGUAUAAAAAAACGACGUAUUAUAAUAUUUCACACGACGUACUGAAAUAGAUGAGGACGUUAUAAUAUAUUUAUCACGACGGUAGUUAGUUAAGACGACGUGGUUAGUUAGUUAAGACGACGCAAUAUAUAAACCAACGAGGUAUUAUUUUAGAAGUACAAACCUCAUAUAUACAGCCAAUACAGUAGCUCCAAUUUCUUCCAUGCCUGCAAAUUGUGUAAUAUCUUCAGGCAGGAGGAAGGUAUCGCGCUCACCACCAAACACCUCAUUAUCAAUUGUAAAUUAGAGUGUCUUAUCCUCAGGCAGGAGUGUCGUUUCCACAAAACGACAAAGGGUUUUUAAAGAAGAUGGCGCCUCCAUAUUUGAAUAAGCACCAACUUCAAUAACCUGUUUAAAGAAAUAAAAAAAAUGACGUGGUAAUUCAAUAAAGACGACGGUUUAAGGAAUAAAACGUCGUCUUAAAAGUAUUUAAACGACGGUGAAAAAACUGUCGUGGUAAUUCAAUAAAGACGACGGUUUUAUGAAUAAAGCAUCGUCUGAAACCAUUUAAACGACGGUGCAAAAACCGUCGUUUAAAUAUUUUAUUACGUCUUAAAAAAAGUCCGCCGUCUAAGUUUUAAACAAACGACGGAUUAAAUAAAAAUAUCGACGUCUGAAAUUUUGAAAAACAAAUAAAAAAGGCAAAGUUAUGUGAACAUACCUUGUCGUCAUGCUUUUCUUCAUCUUCUUUCUCCUUUUCUUCUUCCUUCUCUUCAUCUCUUUUUUCUUCUUCCUUCUCUUCAUCUGGCUGAUGUUUCCCCAUUUUGGCAGUAUCAUCCUCCAAAUGUAGGGAUCUCACAUCACCUCCAGAGCAGCUAGCUUUGUCAGACAUUGGAUUUUUGGGGCUUUGGCUAAUUCUUGGUUUAAGCAUGCUUGGAUCAAAAUUGGGAAUUAAUUGGGAAAGCUGACUCAGGAAAUGCUCCCUCUCAGCCUCUACCAAUUGUUUUGUCCUAGCCUCCAUCCUUAAGGCCUCUUCCCUUGCCUUAGCCUCCAUCUUUUUAGUCUCUUCUUGAAGGAGAACUCUUAAACUGUCCUUCAAACGGUCGUCAAAGCUCACCCUCUGUGGUUUAGGCAAAUUGAAAUAUUGCCUUGGGGGAAACACCAGCACCAACUCCCUUCACUCUGCCAGGAUGCUCGGGGCCCAAAGCCAUGGUCAGCACAUCAUUGCUGCCAUCUACUCUGACUUUGCCUUCCGAGACUUGUUUCUGAAAUUCAUCCUAAAAAAAGAUAAACAAAAAAACACACGACGGUUAUUUAUGUACAAACGACGUAUUAUAUAAUUUCACACGACGCAAUAACGUAUAAACCGACGUUAUUAUAACUUAUCACGACGGUAGUUAUACCGACGUGGUUAUUUAUUUAAAACGACGAAAUGAAUAAACUACCGACGUCUUAUGCUAUAAUUAAAGAAAACAGAGUAGUGAUUCCUAUUUAGACCGUUAACGACGUUUUUAAAAAAGUUUCGACGUGGUAAUAUCAUUCAAACGACGCCAAAAUGAACCACCGACGUCUUAUGCUAUAAUUACAGAAAACAUAGUAGUGAUUCCUAUUUAGACCUUUAACGACGUUUUUAAAAACUUCUCGACGUGGUAAUAUCAUUCACACGACAGAAAAUAUAACAUACGACGUAAUAAGAAUAAUUCACAGUUUAAUAAAAAUUUAAAACAGAGUGAUAGUAGGCUUACAAUUAAUUUUGCUUUCUCUGCCACCUUUGGAUCAGGGAUGUUACCAUGUUUGUCCUGUCUAGCUCUCUUCCAUAAGGUAGAUCGAUCAAUUUCUACCCAGGCAUGGUUUCCUCCAAUUGAUCCUCCAAUCCAGCAUAUCCUUUUCGAGACAAUCGAUGAUUGUACUCGAGUUUCUCCCUAAUCUGUGCAUGUUGAGAAUGCACAGACUCAAAAUCUUUGGAUAGCCUUGAAGCUACAAAGGCAUCCCAUUGUGCUUUCUCUAUGAAUUUAUAUGUUUCAGGGGGUUGGCUUAAUUUCUCCCUGUCAUUGGUGUAUGGAAGGAUAUAAUGCCUCGUUAGUGUAGACUUGAAAUCCUUCCAUUUCUUGGAAGCAGAAGCUAAAACAGAGGUCUUGCCCCCUUGGCCUACGACAAAAGCCAUGUCAACUGCUUCCCAAAUCUGCUCCUUUAUAUCCUUGGAGAUUUGGGACCAUUUCUUGUCCACAAGUGGGAUCCUGGAGCGUGCCAACACACCAAUAUACGACUGCAUCUCAAUAUGUGCUUGGCUAACACCUUUUCCCCUUUUAUUGUACUCAACAAUUGGCCUCAGUUUCUGAAGCUUUCUCUUCACAACACGAGGCAUUGUGCUCAUACCUCGACCAGUCUUUGAAUCAUCAGAGAUUGUUGUCUGGCUGGUUGGUUCUGUCUCAGCAGAUGAUGAAGCAAACUUCAUCUUCUUCGAAGACUUCAUCUCCUUCGAAGACUUGUCUUGAGGAGCUACCAUUCCAAGCUUCUUGGAGCCAGAAUCCUUAGUUUGUUGUUGAGAAACCAUUUUAACAGACAAAACUGCAAGUGAAAAUAUUUCAGGAAAACAUUAAGAACACAAACGACGGUAUUAAAAAAAUACGACGUCUGAUAUGAUUUUAGACGACGCAAUGAAAUAAUCUCAGACGUAAUAAAUGUUUAAAACCAUUAUUUAUAUAACGUCGUGGUAUAUAUGUUCACACGACGUCAAUAGUAAUACACCGUCGUGGUAAACUAUUAUUUAUAUAACGUCGUGGUAUUUAUGUUCAUAAGACGUCAAUAGUAAUACACCGUCGUGGUAUUAACAUUCACACGACGUAAAACAAUAAGAUAUUUUGUCGUCUAUAUUAGAUACCAACCCUAGUUUCUUUUUCUUUAUAUUUUAUCAAAUAAGGGAAAAACAAAAACCAUUGUUCAGAGAAAUCAAACCUGCAAUUAAACAAGCAUAUAAAAAAAGACUAUUAUUUUAAAAACAACUUUGUCAAUUUUCAGACGACGCUAGAACAACUGACGAACCGUCGUGGUCUACCGUCGUCUUAUUUAGUUGAGGUAGUUGUCUUCAAAGUUGGAAACUUUCCCUCUUUGUCUGUAUAUUUUAUCAAACUUGGAAAGAAGUAAAAUGAUUUUGGCCAGAAAAAAGGUAAAAAGAUUUUUCAAACAAAAAACGUAUGAGCAUGCAAAACAGUAACCAAAAUAGUGAAAAUGAAAGCUUACCUUUUGCGUGCAAUGAAAGCAAGAGGAAGAUGAUCGAUGUUUAAGUUCAGAGACGACGAAGAAGACGAGAGGAAGACGAUGAGAAACUCUGACAAUGCUCUGACAAGGAAAAAAGACGAAAAGGUUUCUCUGGGAGAUUGAAAUUUUUAAUCGGGUUUGGAAACAGUGCAUGUGUAAGUCGAAAAGUUGCUUACAUAUAAAACCAUUUCAAAAAAAUAAUACGGCGGUUACAUUUAACUACGUCGUUUUUAACUAAAACGACGCAAUAUUUUUCAUUCGACGUGGAAUCAUUUCAUUUAACGUCGUUAGGUUUAAUAUAACCGACGUGGAUUUUAAUUUUUAAAUUAUGAAUAGAAUUUUUUUUCCCGUGACCUUUCAGUUUAUUUUUCAAUUACAGUGCGUUAUAAAUAGAGUUUUUUUUCCGGAGGAAAUUUAAAACGAAGGAAAUUAAUAUUCUGCAAUAUGUAAAGUUUCUUUUUUGGAUGACAGAUUUAAAUAAAAUAAGAAUAUAAAAACAACAAAUGUGUAAGUCAAGUAGACGAAAAGUUGCUUACAUAUAAAACCAUUUCAAAAAAAUAAUAUGGCGGUUACAUAUAACUACGACGUAUAAAUUACAAAAUACGACGGUACAUUUAACUUCGGACGUGGUAAAUAAAUACGACAGUAGUUUGUAGGUACCGUCGUAGUAAACUCAAAAAUUAAAGUACAUAAGUAAUAACUCGCGUCAUGGUAGAUUAUUUAACACGUCGUCUUUAUUAAUUUACCGACGUGGAUUUCUGUAAUAUACGUCGAUCAUACCGACGUUGAUUUUACAAUUUAAACGGCGGUUUUUUUGUAAGGACCGCCGUUGGUUUUAAAAAUUUAUUCUAUAAAUUUGUCGCUUUCAUUCAUUUUCGGUUUACAUUUAAGGUUCCAAGUUCUUCCUCUCUCAGUCUCUCAUGUCUCAAAGACAAUAAUUUGGAUGUUUUCUCAAAGAGAAAUUGAGCUUACUCGCAUCAAAUAUAUGUCCACAAGAAGAAGCUUGUCAACUAGCCUUCUCACUUCCUUGAUCAAGCCUGAUAGGACACUUAAUGCUUCUGAAUACUCCUUGCUUUCCAUCAAAAGAGAUGCAAGCCUGGCCUCCACUCGCUGUCGAAGGAAAGUUCGCUUCUCAGGGAAAUCUGAAGAUCAGAUGUGCCUGAUCCUCUGCUUGAUUUUCUUGCCUAAGAAGAUCCGUCGGAUUUGUGAUAGCCUCUUCCUUUAUCCGUAGAGCUUCAGAAGAAGAAGAUGGGUUUCAAGAAUGCGAUAAAGAAUAGAAAUGGCUUCAGAUGGCCUCUAAAGCAUGAGCAAUUGAAUCAGUAGUUUCUGGGAGAUAUGAUGAAGACAUUGUCAAUGCUUUGAACUAUACAAGUCCUGCAAAAAGAUAUGUUAAAGAAACUGAAACAACGGCGGUUUUCUGUUCUACCGUCGUCUUUUCUCGUCGUCUAUAUUAAGUUAAGAUGGCGGUAGAUUUAUAAUUACCGACGUAGAUUAUUUUGUUAAACGUCGUUAAGUGUAUUACAACCGACGUGGAUUUUAUUUUUAAAUUAUAAAUAGAGUUUUUUUUCCCGUAUUCUUUCAGUUUUAGUUUUCAAUUCCAAAGCGUGAUAAAUAGAUUUUUCUUUCCCGAGGAAAUUUAAAAUGAGGGAAAUUAAUGUUCUAGAAUUUGUAAACUAACACGACGCAAUAUUUGCAAAUCUGUGUCAUCUGUUAAGAUUAUGAUGUGGAACAGAGUUCCAUCUGGUAAGAUUUCGUAACCCUUGGGAUCUCAGACAAAUCUGAUUAUGUCAGCGGUGUUCUAUAUAAACCGUCGUGGUUAUUUCAAUUCUUGUCAUUAAGUAGAUCUACCGACGUAGGAUAAGAAAAUCAAAGAAAAAAAUUGUUAACAAAAAUUCUUAUUAAGACGACCGUUAAAAUUAAAGGUACGACGUAUAAAAUGAAUAAAUACGACGAUAAAUUUUAUUGUACGAUUUAAAGAUAACGUCGUAGAACUAUACGAGAAUGACGUCGAUAUAUUUAUAUUUUCCGUCGUUGUAAAUUUAUUUAAUACGGCGAUAUUUUGUAUUUUAAAGCCGUGGAUUUGUUUGUAAUUAUACGGCGUCUUAUACGAAAACCUCGUCGUGUUAUUUUAUGAGUAAAAACGGCAGUUUUUAUUGAAAUCGUCGUCUUUACUUUCUACGUCGGUCGAUUCAUAACUUCUGCCGUUCUUUGUUGGCAUUGAUUUUACACUGCGGAAAUCUGUUUCAAAUAGACGUUGGUUGUUUAAUUAUGUACGUCGUUGUUUUUGAACAGCCAUUUGAAACUCCAUUUUUUAGUUGUCUAAGGUUGUAUUACACGACGGUGUUUUUAGAACCGUCGUCUUUUUAUAAACCACGACGGUUUUCACUUAGACCGUCGUUGUUUUCUAGUCGUCUUUUUCACUUUUUGUAGUAGUGACGAUAAACAUCCUCGUGAAACCACAAUCUGCUACGUUCACCAGGCUCAUUUGGUGACUCUUGAUAAACUAAUCCUCUACCCAAUUCUUCAAGCAAGUCAUGCAUCCCAAUUGUGCCAUGCUCAAUAUUUAUGAGGGCCUUGUCUACGAGUACUUUAAUAGCAUACUUAGGCUUGAGGUCACAACCUUCCAGGAUCGGUAUCACAUUGUACACCUUUCUACCUUUAAAGAAACAUGCUAUGUCAAGGAAAACUUCUUGCACUGAAUAUUCCAAUGCAUCAUAGCUUAUUUUGAGAGUUUUUUUAAUGUCCGAGUGCAGAUUCCCAUCCAAUGCAUCAUGUCACUCAUCUAUACUUCUACCACAUAGAUGAGAACCUAAAACCUUGAGAGCUAAAGGAAGACCUUGAGCAUGCUUCACCACAGUUUCUGCAGCUUUCACAUAAUCAUCAUCCAAAUUUUUAUUUCUCCCACCAUUCCAACUAAUGAAGAGAUCAAGAGAUUCACCAAAGUCUAAUUUCUUGGCCUUGUAUAUUAUACUAACUUGAUGAGAAGUUAGCAAAUGCUUAUCUCUUGUCGUUAUGAUAAUUCUACUGCCCAAACCAAACCAAUCACAACCUCCAACUAAGUUGUUUAACUGGUCCAAAUGAUCCACAUCAUCUACAAUUACAAGGACCUUUUUACGACUCAACCUUUCCUUUAUCACAUUGAUUCCUUUAUCGGCACUGGUAACCUUUAUGGUCGCUUACUGAAAAAAGCUAGUCAUGAAGUUUUCAGGGGGAGAUAUUCAUCAGGGGGAGCAUGGUAUUAAUAAAGACCUUCACACACUGUACUCUUUUUCCUUCAUCCAGGUUUUUAUCCCACUGGGUUUUUCCUGGUAAAGUUUUAACGAGGCAGUAUCGCUGAAGAUUGACUCACAGAAGCAGUGUCAACUACGAUAUUCAGAAAGAUGAUCAACAGUAUGGCUUAAAGAUAUUUUGCCAAGCAUCAGGGGGAGCGUGCUACCAAUAAAGAUCUUCAAACACUGUACUCUUUUUCCUUCGUCCAGGUUUUUAUCCCACUGGGUUUUUCCUGGCAAGGUUUUAACGAGGCAGUGUCGCACGCGUGUCAAUAUACACAGAAUUUUAUGUUACACAUGAUUAUGUACUCUUUUUCCCUUUGACCAGUUUUUGUCCCAUUGGAUUUUUACUGGCAAGGUUUUUAACGAGGCAUAUUCCAUAUCAUUUGUGGUCUCCAAGGGGGAGUGUUGUAAAUAAUAAGGUGGAGCCCACCUCCAAUUGAAAGAGGCUUUGCCUACAAAAGGGUUCACACCAUUCCUUUGUAAUUUGAGAUUGAUAAUACUAAGAGAGGAAUCCUACUGUUUCCUCCUAUCUCAAUUCCCUCUCCACUUUCUCUAGAUUUAUAACAUUUUCAACAUUUUUCAUGUAUUUUUCGGUUUCAUAUCGUGAUAUAUUGCCCAAAUAAUGCAUGAAAAAUGUUGAAAUUAUCGUCUACGACAUUAUCCCGAUAAUAUCGACAAAAAUAUUGAUAUAUUGACGAUAAUUAAGUGGAUAUGUGCAAAAAUAUCUCCCACUCAAAAAAGAAUUGACGAUAUUUAAUACUAUGGUUGUGAUCAAUGUUAUGGCUAGUACCCAAUGUUAUAUAACUCGCAAGAAAGAAUUCAACCUACCCGUAGUUUAGACAGUAACUAUUUAAUUAAAGAUUACAAUCUGGUUUGGUUAAGUUAACUGACUAUAUAUAUUCUGGAAAAAAAAAAACUGACUAUAUAUAUAUUUAUAAAUAAAUAAAAACAACUUGUGUACUUUGUUUUUGUUUGUUUAUUUGUUAAAAAAUAAUAUAUGGUUUAAUGGGUUGUCUUGUUAAGGGAAAGCAAUAAUUUAAACUUUUGGAAAAACAAUAAUCCCAAAUGUAAGAACCAUUCAUCCACUAAUAGCUUGCAAAAAUAUAAUUUAAAUGGAAAAACAAAAAACAAAUACACUAGUAAUAAGUUGGGAGAUUCAUUAUAAUACCCAAUAUAGGAGUCCAAAUUAUAAAAAAAGCCCUAUAUGAAAUAGACUUUAGAAACACACCAAAAGCUCAUUUACAACAUAACAAAAAGGCUUUUAACUUCUUUUAAAUUACAAUAUUGCCAUUGAUUUCUUAAAACAAACCCAGCCCAAAAACCUCAUAAAAAAGCCCAAAACACUCAAUGGGGCAUCGAAGUAAUUUAAUGAUUAUAAUUAAAUUCAACAGGGUCUGCUGUCAUUUUUUGGGUUUUUUUUGAGUAUGUUUAUAGAAAUUAAAUAGUGUAGGAUUUAUUUAUAGUUUUAGUGCUAAGAAUGAGUAUUUGACUAAAUAUUUCUAAUGAGUUUAUGUAUCUACUAAAACUUAAUUACAUGGAGGCAAUCUAAUGGAUCACUAAUGAUUUUUUAAUCAAAACAACCUAGUUAUAUAUAAUUACUGAAAAAAAUAAUAAUCUCAUUUUUCACGGCCCGAGAAGCGAGCAAAGGUCCUUCAACAAGUUAAACAUGUUUAGAAGGUGUCACCAAGGCACAAAACGGUCCAUAAGCAAACGAACUUUGGCAUCUGAAAGCGUAGAGGAAUCCAAGUCCCUCUGAAUCUGAGCCAUUCUGCUGCUCUCUUUUCUUGCUUCUUUCAACACUUGUCGUUGUUCUUCAACCUCAUCAUCACCUUCUCCUUGCUUGGCCUUUGAUGAAAACACCAUUCGCUUCUUAGCCCCCACCUUGUCUUUCAGCUUUGCCAACUCGCUCAUCCAAACCUCCACCACUGCAGACAUGCUUGAACUUGAAAACUUGAAAUUCUGGCUUGGUCUUGAAUCUUGAGUUUGAUCAAGGAUGAUGAGGAGAGCUGGCUAUUAUGGUUGUUGGUUAUAUAGAAGACAGAGAGAGAGAAAGAGGGCCUUGCCCUUCAUGUGGUUUGGAUUGGAUGAAAAAUCAGUUUGUCACAGACAGCCGUUGGUUAUAGGCUCGCACACAGGAUUAAGUUUUAGGAAUCUUCCUUGGAAAGAGAGAGAGAGAGAGAGAGAGAGAGAGAGACAAGAAAGGGGUAUGAGUUUUGUUGUGUGAAUGAAAAGCUUCCCCGCGGGCGGGCGACUUGGCAUAUCAUCAAUAGUAUUCCAUUGCGAAUCUCUUUCUCCGAAAUACCUAUUCACCUCUUCAUCAUCAUCUUCAGUAAAAGUAGCCAUCUUCAUUAUCUUCACAGCUGAAGUAGUCAGGUUCCGAGUCUUGCUCAUCUUCACAUAGAUCAACACAAUUAUCUCCAUCAAACCUCUCAUUAGCAUCUUCCAAGUUAUCGGAUUCAGACUCACCAUCUUCCGUAAAUAUAGACAGGUCUUCAUCAUCCUGUGUCAUUACCAGGUGGACCCCGAAGCUUUUAAAAUGCAGCGAAUCUUGUGUCAAAUUCUGGAAAUUAACUCGACACGCAAAAGGCGACUGCGGCCAG